rnacentral:rRNA from 1 species
UACGACUACAUAUCAGGCAUAUCAAUAAGCGGAGGAAAAGAAACUAACUAGGAUUCCCUUAGUAACGGCGAGUGAAGCGGGAAGAGCUCAAAUUUGAAAUCUUCAAGGUUUUACCUUGACGAAUUGUAGUUUAAAGAAGUGUUUUCUGUUGGAGUUUUGGUAAAAGUUCUUUGGAAUAGGACAUCAUAGAGGGUGAGAAUCCCGUAUUUGACCAUUAUUUCCAGCUUUGUGAUACACUUUCAAAGAGUCGGAUUGUUUGGGAAUGCAGUCCAAAAUGGGUGGUAAAUUUCAUCUAAAGCUAAAUAUUGGCGAGAGACCGAUAGCGAACAAGUACCGUGAGGGAAAGAUGAAAAGAACUUUGAAAAGAGAGUUAAACAGUACGUGAAAUUGUCAAAAGGGAAGCGUUUGACACCAGUGUUGUUUUCUCGAAAAUCAAUUCAUGAUGGCUUGAUGCCAAGUUGUAUUGACCUUAAAAGCUUUCUUCACUUUUUUCAUGUCAUUUUUAAUGCACUUUUCGUUUAACAAGUCAACAUCAGUUUCUUUUGUUGUAAAAAGGUCAUUGGAAGGUGGCUUUCACUUCGGUGAAAGUGUUUAUAGCCUUUGACUUCUGCAAUCGGAGAGAUUGAGGUCUGCAGCGUAGAUCCUUCGGGGUUAGAUACAUUAGAUGCUAAGUUAUAGUUUUUUAUAGACAACUUGUUGACUAUGAUUAAUCAUGUAGCUUACUCGUUUGCGCUAUUUUACCUACGCUUAGGAUGUUGAACGCGCACAGAGUCUC